GUGUCAGCAGCCGCGGUAAUACGUAGGGACCAAGCGUUGUUCGGAUUUACUGGGCGUAAAGGGCGCGUAGGCGGCAAAUUAAGUCAUCUGUGAAAUCUCCGAGCUUAACUCGGAACGGUCAGGUGAUACUGAUCUGCUAGAGUGCGGAAGGGGCAAUCGGAAUUCUUGGUGUAGCGGUGAAAUGCGUAGAUAUCAAGAGGAACACCUGAGGUGAAGACGGGUUGCUGGGCCGACACUGACGCUGACAGCGCGAAAGCCAGGGGAGCAAACGGGAUUAGAAACCCUCGUAGUCC
rnacentral:rRNA from 1 species